AUGGCGUUUGCGAGAUCCCUCUCUCCUCGAGCUUGUGUGUUCUCUUCGAUUAGUGCUUCCCUGGUUUGCUUCAAUGGGGUGGCUGCGGAAAGUUUCUCACAAGGAUGUACCACUAGUCUCUCUCUUGAUAGUGCAGAUUCUCUGAAUGAUCCAUUUGUGCCUAAUGAUUUUGCGAUGAUGGUUCUAAUCCUAUGUCUUUGGAAGUCUCUAGGAGGGCUUGACAAAUCUCUAUUUGACUUCUAUAUGGAUCAUAAAGUGAAAUGUUUGAAGAGGAAGUUAUCAUGUGCUGGAAGAAGAAACAUGAAAAUGAAGCUGUGUACUGAUUUCCAGUUUGUUCUAUUUCCCCGCUUCAAUGGCCACUUAAUUUUGGUCUUCACUCAAUUUUCUGAUGUGAAACCUCGGAUUCUUGCGUGGAGAGGGUUCUGUUCAAAUAUCUUCAGCAAGUAA
rnacentral:rRNA from 1 species